UGGGGAAUAUUGCACAAUGGGGGAAACCCUGAUGCAGCGACGCCGCGUGAGUGAAGAAGUAUUUCGGUAUGUAAAGCUCUGUCAGCAGGGAAGAAAGAAAUGACGGUACCUGACCAAGAAGCCCCGGCUAACUACGUGCCAGCAGCCGCGGUAAUACGUAGGGGGCAAGCGUUAUCCGGAAUUACUGGGUGUAAAGGGAGCGUAGACGGUGAUGCAAGUCUGGAGUGAAAGGCGGGGGCCCAACCCCCGGACUGCUCUGGAAACUGUGUAACUUGAGUGCAGGAGAGGUAAGCGGAAUUCCUAGUGUAGCGGUGAAAUGCGUAGAUAUUAGGAGGAACACCAGUGGCGAAGGCGGCUUACUGGACUGUAACUGACGUUGAGGCUCGAAAGCGUGGGGAGCAAACAGG
rnacentral:rRNA from 1 species